GAAAUGCGAUAAGUAAUGUGAAUUACAGAAUUCAGUGAAUCAUCGAAUCUUUGAACGCACAUUGCGCCCGCCAGUAUUCUGGCGGGCAUGCCUGUUCGAGCGUCAUUUCAACCAUCAAGCCCCGCGCUUGUGUUGGGGACCUGCGGCUGCCGCAGGCCCUGAAAACCAGUGGCGGGCUCGCUGUCACACCGGGCGUAGUAGAUUUUAUCUCGCUCAGGGCGUGCUGCGGGUUCCGGCCGUUAAAAAGCCUUUUUUACCCAAGGUUGACCUCGGAUCAGGUAGGAAGACCCGCUGAGCUUAAGC
rnacentral:misc_RNA from 1 species